rnacentral:rRNA from 1 species
AACGAACGCUGGCGGCGCGCCUAAUACAUGCAAGUCGAGCGAGAAGACGUAGCAAUACGUUUGUAAAGCGGCGAACGGGUGAGGAAUACAUGGGUAACCUACCCUCGAGUGGGGAAUAACUAGCCGAAAGGUUAGCUAAUACCGCGUACGCUCCUUGGACUUCGGUUCAGGGAGGAAAGCGAGGCCGUGGGUCUCGCGCUCUUGGAUGGGCUCAUGUCCUAUCAGCUUGUUGGUGAGGUAACGGCUCACCAAGGCUUCGACGGGUAGCUGGUCUGAGAGGACGAUCAGCCACACUGGCACUGCGACACGGGCCAGACUCCUACGGGAGGCAGCAGUAAGGAAUAUUGCGCAAUGGGCGAAAGCCUGACGCAGCGACGCCGCGUGGGGGAUGAAGGUCUUCGGAUUGUAAAGCCCCUUUCGGGAGGGAAGAUGGAACGAGCAAUCGUUCGGACGGUACCUCCAGAAGCAGCCACGGCUAACUUCGUGCCAGCAGCCGCGGUAAUACGAAGGUGGCGAGCGUUGUUCGGAUUUACUGGGCGUACAGGGAGCGUAGGCGGUUCGGUAAGCCCUUUGUGAAAUCUCCAGGCUUAACCUGGAACAGUCGGAGGGGACUGCCGGGCUAGAGGGCGGGAGAGGAGCGCGGAAUUCCCGGUGUAGCGGUGAAAUGCGUAGAGAUCGGGAGGAAGGCCGGUGGCGAAGGCGGCGCUCUGGAACGUUUCUGACGCUGAGGCUCGAAAGCGUGGGGAGCAAACAGGAUUAGAUACCCUGGUAG